rnacentral:lncRNA from 1 species
GUUGGUUUCCACAGAUAUUGUGCUGAGAAAAUUAACAAAAAUGUAAAGCACCGUAACUAACAUAUAGACUUCACUAGCUGUGUGACCUGGGGCAAGUCAUUGAGCCUCUCUGAGCCUUUGCCAAUGAAGAUACUAAUGGUACCUGCCUCAUAGGGUUGUUACAAGGCCUGAAUGAGUGAAUACAGACAAGUAAAAGGCUUCAAACAAGGCUGGUAGGCUUUAAGGACAACAUAUAUAGCAUUGGUUGUUCUAUUUUCAUAGUAAAUGUUCAAUAGCUCCCAGGGGUCCUGGUCACUCUGGACCCAGCUCCUUUUCUCUCUCGCUCUCUCAGUAGAAAAUCUCCCACCACCCCUCAACCCCCUGCCAGGUGAGGAGGACCAGAACCAAGAAACAGGACUGCCUGAGGCCUCAGACCUCCCCCUACUCAAAGUUCAAGGGACCCGGAGCCUGAGAGGCUGGGGCGGGAGGGAGUGAGGAGGCGGUGGCACUGGCAGCUAAAUUUGUUCAUCCGGCCUGUCAGUGCCUUAAUCUGAUCCCCGAGGAACAACGCAGAGGCUUCACUCUGGAUGACAAACGAGGAGGGGAGAGGCCUGCCCUGCCUGGACUCCGGGCCCCAGCCAUGACCGUGUCAGCUAGACGACACCUGGAGCAAGUCCCCACAACCUGUUUUACUCCUGAGCGGGCUUUGUGCCUAGACCUGGGAAUCCUGACUCACUUUGGUAAAGCUAUCGACCUCUCCAAGCCUCAGUUUCCUCAUCUUCAGUUUGGGCAGAUCUUUAGGCUCAGUGGAGCCAAAACAUGUAAGCACUUGAUAAAGCCCGGAGUGGCCUGGUUCAGAGGCUCUGCUCAGAGGACCAGCACAAGCUGGUAUGCGUGUGUGUGUGUGUGUGAGUGUGUGUGUGUGUGUGCGUGCAUGCGCACACACACUAGUUGGGAAGCAGGGAAGGCCUGGGAGCCUCCCAGAGGAGAGAGGCUUAGGCAUGAUGAUGGGGUGAGGGGGAGCCCCAAAUCCCAGGCCCAGGGCCCCAUGUCCCAGGGAGUAGGGGGUCAGGAGCCCAGCUAUCUCCGCUUUCUGCACCCACCUCCUUCCAGCACCACCUUCUCCUGCAGCGCUGCCCUCUGGUCCUACUCAGCCUCAUCUGUGCGGGCUGGUCCUACACUUUGCUCACUCGGGAUUUUACACAUGGGGCCUGCGUCUCUCACGGAGGGCCACCAGGAGGCGCCACACGCCUGCUCGGCCUCCCCGUGGGCCCCCCAGUCCACCCGGCCGGUCGGUCUGGAGGCGGGGCGUCCUCGGGGUCCGGGUGUGCACGGUCUGCGGUUCAGCCCCGGCUCUAGCACGUGGCCCGCGGAGCCGCGCACCCUUUCUCUCUCUUGAACCCCCAUCGGGUGGCGGGCGUCUCAUCCAACCCUCUCUGCGCGAUCCUGCUCCCUCUGCGCCCGCGGGCAUCCGAGGUCCAGGCUUCUGUCACCCCCUAGCCCUACCCGCGAAGUCCUCUGUCAUCCUGCGAGCACAGGACCCAGAGUGCUGUGCUGUGGUCCCCGUUCCCCCAGCUCCUAUCCCUCUCUGAAGGUUGGAUGAAUAAACUGCUCUCAAAGCUGGUUUGUUUGGCCA